rnacentral:misc_RNA from 1 species
UGUGGGAGCGAGCCUGCUCGCGAUAGCGGCGGAUCAGUCAGCAUUAAUGUCGUCUGACACUCCCCAUCGCGAGCAGGCUCGCUCCCACA